rnacentral:lncRNA from 1 species
AAGGAUUAAAAAAAAAAAAAAUGCUCGUUGCGUCACUGCUUAGGCCAUUCUGAAUCUUCAGUUCUCUGUCUGAAGUCUAUCACUUGGUGCAAAAUAGUCAAAUUUUCACCAUUUAGACCAUACGAUAAUCGGACACGUGGAUGGACCCUGUGACUACCACAUUUUUCCAAGGCAAGUAAUGGGCCAUUUAUAUUAGUUACUUCAUUUGUGAAUGUAAUGAGAAAGAACUAAGGCGACGCACACUAGCAGGAGCUGAAACUUUCAGUCUUUCACUGUCUGAAAGGCCGUUGACCAUUCAAUCUGCGUACGUUCUUUGUUCUCAAAUUUGAUCGUUUGUUUUCAUUUUUCGUUCAUGUCAAGUUUCUGUAUUUGUAUACAAUUAAAUGAUCACUCAUUCGCAGGUUUUGCUUUUACCUGACGCUCUUCAAUAGUUUUAUUCACUCUAGUGUUUGCGAUAUAUCUUUCUGCUAGUGCUUGAUGACCCAAGUUGCAUGUGAACGGAUUAGAUAUUCAUUUUAGUUUGUUAAUCAGUCAAAUAUCAUAGACCCCAUCUGUUAUUACCGCAGUGAUUGCUAGGAACAGCUACUGGUUGUUAUGUUUGUUUCUGUGUAGGCUUUUCAAUGGAAAUAUAUACACCUCAAUGUUUCUUUUGCCUUUGACAACGUAUAUUGAUUAAGUUAGUGUUCCUGAGUUGAGAGUCUUUUCAAACUUUGCCAAACAUGCGUCCAAAUAGAUUGAGCUUGUACGUGAGAUAGCUGGAUUUUAUUUGCUUACAAACCUUUUUUGGGAUUAUUUAAAAAUUACAAUUACUAACCUGGUUUCGGAUACACGAGAGUUGUUUGCUAUUAUCCAAUUUAUUUUGGUUGGAGCACGUUUUAACUGACACAAAGCCAGAAAUACCAGUUCAAUCUCGGUAACCUCUAUAAUUUGUCUCAAAUACAUUGUGUUUAGUUAUUUAUGUUCUUGGAUUUCCAAUUCAUUUAUGGCUUAACUGAUAUAAGAAAGCUGACAGGGAUAUGAGAAAUUUUUCUCAAGGAUGGAAGAUUCUGGUAGCCAUUUUUCUGUUGGGAUUAAGCUUUCCAUACUCACAAGGUUAUAAUGUCAAAUCUAAAGUCUUUUUGUCACCUAAGUUUGUGCUGGGGCCAGGAUCCGUUGAGAAUAAAUUUUACUAUGGGAUUGACUUUCCGAGAGGUCAUAUUGCUCUAAAGAGUUUUAAUGCAGAAGUAAUUGAUGAGGCAGGAAAUCCCGUUCCUCUUCACGAGACUUAUCUCCACCAUUGGGUCGUUGAAAGAUACUAUGGACGUAAAGAUGCAGAAGUACUGGAGUAUAAUGGCAACAGACUUCUUCGUGAAUCAGAUUACAUUGCAGCGAGAAAUGAUGGCAUAUGCCAGAGGAAUUCUCUUGGGCAGUUUUUUGGCCUUGGCUCUGAGACACGAGGAACAGCAACGCAUAUUCCAGAUCCUUAUGGUAUAGAAAUUGGCAAUCCUGCUACAUUUCCUGCAGGCUAUGAAGAGAGAUGGCUUCUUAAUGUCCAUGCAAUUGAUACACGAGGUGUCGAAGAUAGGUUGGGAUGCACCGAAUGCAAGUGCGAUUUGUACAAUGUUACAGUGGAUGAGUAUGGCCAGCCGCUAAAGCCAAAUUACAGAGGUGGUUUAGCGUGUUGUUACGAUGGUACGCAGUGUAGAUUGUCAAACGGUUUUGAAGGUGCCAGGAGGAGCCUCUAUUUGAGAUAUACCGUAAAGUGGGUUGAUUGGGACACUUCCAUUGUGCCUGUUAAAAUCUACAUAUUUGAUGUCACUGACAAGGAAACACGGUUUAGUGAUUCCACUGGAUUCAGCAUACAGCAUCAUUGCCAGGUAAGUGAAACUCUUUUUACAAAACUCUCCAAGCUGAAACAGAAAUGAAUUUUAUUUGGGACGUUCAGUGGAAUAGCCUCGCAUUACUUUCUUCAUCUUUUACGGUUCAUUGAACUAGGUUGUUAUAUAAUCAUUUAAUGCUUGUUUUGGUGCAUUACUGGAAAAAUGGAAUUGAUUCAUUGAUGCAAUGAACACAAAGUUGGAGUCUGCAUAAAGCUAAGCGUAAUUUACUGGAAAAAAUUCUGUGGGCUUAGAGUCCUCUUUAAUGGCAUACUGUUUAAUAUGUGUGUAUGAAAUGACUUGCGUUGAAGAUAUUUUUUGUUUAAUGUGGAGGAGUUUUUAUUAAAUGUGCAUAAAUUUAUAGACAUUCAAAAGCACAUAAGCACCAACACUUACUUCAGCCCCUAAAUUGAUAAUCAAUAGUGAAUACGUUUUGAUUUAUGACUUUCUUGCAACUUUUAGUGACUUAAUUUCUUCACAAAUGUUGACCCAUUGGAAUAUCUGUGAUUGCAGGUUGAAUAUUAUGUUGAGCCCUGUAAAGCCAAUGAUGUGGCUGAUAAUGGGUGUGUCCACACCAAAAGGACCAGUGUCACGAUGCCAACCAGUGGUUACAUCAUCUAUGGCGUUGCCCAUCAGCACUCAGGGGGCAUUGGUGCAGCUCUAUACAGAAAGGUGAUUUCAAUAUCUAAUUUGCAUUCACGUGGCAUGCCUUUUCUUUUGUCUAUGUUCUACUUUCCAUUGUAAUUUUAUCAUUCUUAUCUGCUAGGUUGGUGGUAAACUGGUGAUAUAUGAAGACGUGUACUAGUUCUUGAUCUUUUUAAUUUUCUUGUUAGAUUAUGCUUUGAAAGUUAUUGUUUCUUUAGUCUGCAAAAGAAUUGUCAGAAUUUUUUAAGAUUAUGUAAAUGUUUACAACAUUAAUUAGAUGUUGAGGACAUGUGAGUGUGACAUUAUCAUAUUUCCAAAGUAGACUAUUUUUUAGCUUCUAGCUGCUUGAUUUGUUUGUCAUCCUCAAAGUUUGGAUAACAUUGAUAUUUUAUAUAUAGUGUUAUGGUCCCUGAAAUUGGUUGGAUGUUUUCCCUUUUUCUUUUGAAGAACAAUUCUUCAUUAUUCAUUUUAUGUAAUUUUUUCAGAACCCAGUGUGAUGAUUGUGGAAGGAAUUUGAUUCCCAAUGUCUUCUUCAUUGAUAUGCUUGUUUUUGGUGAAACCAGGAUGGACAACUUAUGUGUUCUUCAAUUCCAGCUUAUGGAAAUGGGAAGGAAGCUGGAAACGAGGCUGGAUAUAUUGUAGGAAUGUCGACUUGUUAUCCUAAACCAGGCUUCCUCAGGAUAACAGAUAAGGAAACUCUGAUUGUGGAAUCUAACUACAGUAGCUCCCACGAUCACACAGGAGUUAUGGGGCUUUUCUACAUUUUGGUUGCAGACAGGGUGCCCGAGUCCAGUUCAUUCUUAGAUGUUUUCAACAAGGUAAGAUUCCCUUUUCAUAUUUUUAGAUAGUGAGUUCAGCAAUACAAUUUAUUAUGCUUGUGAGCACAUGCGAAGAUACCGGAGAGCAAAAAACUUAUUCUAGAAUUGAGGAGGAAUAUUGUCUUACCUCUUUGAUUAUCGAAAUGGUAUAGAGAAUGGAUUAUAGACAGUCGUUUUGAUUAGUGUUGGUGAGAAGAUUAUUAUUUGCUGGAGUAGAAACUGUUUAAUAUGAUUCUUAGGCGAUAAUAGAACUAUAAUCCUCUUCUUGAUUUUAGCAAGAAACACCAAGCCUCUGAUAACUGCCUGGUUUUUGCAGAUGUACAAUGAUAUAAACCAUUCUGCUUUUGUUUGGGGAGCGUUUGUUUUAGCCGGAGUUGCUAUCAUUGCUGCUGCUGUGGGUUACUGGCGUAGGAAUAAGUACGAAGAUGGAUACCAACCAAUUAUGAUCUGAACUUGUUCUUAUGAGGCUUAGCCAUGUGUAUUAGACAGAAAUAAUGUUAGCUCUGUAUCAUAUGUUCUGAAACUCUCGUUUCCCUUUGCUAGAUGAGCGUGAAUAAACAGAUGAGCGUGAAUAAACCCGGGAGACUCACAGUCUUGCCCAAUAUUAUUUCUAUUACUGUUGUUAGUAAUUGGAACUGAGUGAUUAAUGUGAGCCUCUGUUGGACUUUAUGGCCAUUUCUUUCAUUUUCUCUACGACUCCUGUAGCUGCUUGUGUUCAACGCUAUUUUCACAUUUGUAAGGGACCUGUCCAAAAUUCAAAGCAUUAUUGGGUCGCUAUUUCCUGUGGCAGCUGCCAAGUUUGAGUAUCUUCGACUUAGAGGAACCACAUAUGUUACUUUUUUUUGAAAAAAAAAUUCAUUUCAUGUUUUUAGUCUGCAUGUGUGUUAUUUAAUAAUAAUCGUUGAAAGAACUGUUUUAAAUAUUUUACUUCAUCAUAGUUUCUCCUACAAUUAUGGAUCUCUGUUUCCUAGUUUUCCCCUUCUCAAACGAUCUAUAUACACGGUAAGCUCAAAGUAUGCAUGCUUCGUCAUAUAUUUAACACAAGUGUGCAUAUUGCAACUAAUAUUUUGGGAUGCAUCACACAAUAAUUUUACAAUAUAUCCAUCGUGCUUUGUGACAUUACCUUUGACUUUAUCAAUUGCAUUGUUACCAGAGAUAGUGCAUUAUUAACUAUGAUACUGUAAAGAAUUCAAUUUGAAAUCAAAUUAACAAUCGACAAUGAAUCAUAAUAUGGUCAAAUAAAAAAUAAAGAGAUACGUACUAGCUUUGAAAUGGGAAAAUAAAUAAUGAACGAAUGAUUUAGUUUUUUUUUUUCCAAAUUCUCUUUUAUGUUUAUUACUGUUGGGUUGCCCCUCUGGAAAAAUUCAUAGGUCCGGUUCAGAAAUGCAAAAUACAAUAGUAAUCACAUGGGGGUUUAAUGCAAAUAUGCAGUGAAGGAGGCACUAUGCAGAUUGUCAAUGAAUAAUGGGAAGAUGAAAUUUACGUAUAAAGGUGAACUAUUGGCACCCUUUGCGUAUCUUUUGAAACCCCUUUUCUUUAUCUAUCUCAUUAUAAUUAUUUGAAAAUUAUAAAACUCUCAUGGCAUCGUUUUAGUUUAAAAAAUAACCUUAAUUUCUUGUUGAGUUUACACCCCCUUCUUUCUCUUCACAUCUCUCUCCCCCUCAUUUGCUUACCAUUCUUUCCUCUCUCUUUCUCUUCCACUAUGAGUUCUCUCCGUCGUCAACUCUUUUUAUGGUGAUGAACAAAUUGGACUUUAUGACCAUAACAUUAUAAUUAUUAAUAUAUAUAUAUAUAUAUAUAAUAAUAAUAAUAAUAAUAAUAAAGAUUCAAUGAGAAUGAUGCAAUUGAUUGGUAUUCUUGAUUUUUUUUUUUUUGCUUCUUUAACUAAACUUAAAAGUUUCAUUACUAACCACAACAACAAUAUGAAAGAAAUUAGAAUGUUGCCGAAUUUAUUUUUUGUAAUUGUUUUAUUUUUCUAAAUUAAUUCGGAUGGGGACGAAGGCAAAUGGAAGAGAACAAUAAAAAUCAUUGGCUCUGAAAAUAUUUUUCUGUAGGAUGCCCUGCCUUCUGAAACCUCCUCAACGUUAAAUCUAUAUAUAUAUAUAUAUAUAUAUAUAUAUAGAGUCAGAGUUCAAAUUUUGUGCUUUAACUGCCGUUGCUUUGUGGAAGUCAUUUCUCCGCACCCCCUUCAUUUCUCCUUCGCAUAUCCACCUCCUGCCUUCAAGUGAUUUUUGUGGGACCAAAAUCUAAUUGUUUCAUUUUUUUUUAAAUUAUCCUCGUUCAAAUCAUAAUUAAUUUUUAUUAUUUUAAAUUUUAUUAUUUUUAUUAAAUUUUAUUAAUUUAGUUAUUAUUAAUUAUUGUUAUUAUUAUUUUUAUUAAUAUUAUCAUUAUUAACAAUUAUUGUUAUUAUUAUUGUCAAAAUUUAUUAAUUUUAUUAUUUUAAAUGUCAUUAUUAUUAUUAACUUUAUUAUUUUAGUUAUUAUUAAUUAUUGUUGUUAUUAUUUUAUUAAUAUUAUCAUUAUUAACAAUUAUUAUUAUUAUUAUUAUUGUUAUUGUUAUUAUCAUUAUUAUCAAAAUUUAUUAUUUUAAAUGUCAUUAUUAUUAUUAUUAUUAUUGACUUUAUUAUUUUAGUUAUUAUUAAUUGUUAUUAUUAUCAUUAUUAACAAUUUAUUAUUAUUAUUAUCAUUAUUAUUAUCAAAAUUUAUUAAAUUUAUUAUUUUAAAUGUCAUUAUAUUAUUAUUAUUAUUAUUGACUAUAUUAUUUUAGUUAUUAUUAAUUAUUUUUAUUUUUAUUAUUAUCAUUAUUAACAAUUUAUUAUUAUUAUUAUUAUUAUUAUUAUUAUUAUUAUUAUUAUUAUCAUCAUCAUCAAAAUUUAUUAAAUAUAUUAUUUUAAAUAUCAUUAUUAUUAUUAUUGACUAUAUUAUUUUAGUUAUUAUUUUUAUUUUUAUUAAUAUUAUCAUUAUUAACAUUUAUUAUUAUUAUUAAUUUUAUUUUUUUAAUUAAUAGCAUUUUUAUAAUAAUAUUUAUACAUGUAUCUAGUUGAUGAAAAUUGCAUUAUUUAAUACUAUGGAUAUUUUGGUAAAUUGAUUCUCAUUUCUAUUCCGCAUUCCCAUUUAUUUUGUCAAGUAAACACAUCAAUGACAUUCCAGCACAUUUCUAUUUCUAUUUAUUUUUGGCAAUCAAACAUUUCAUCUCAUUUUCAUUCCUCAUUCUCAUUCUAUGAAAUAAACGAACCAUUAUUUCUUAAUUUUUCAUUUCCGUCAAAUUUCUAAUUCAGUUAGUCACACAAAUAAAAUUACUUACUUGAAAAUCACUCCCAAAUGUACAAUGAACUUAUUUGUAGGAGCUGGCUGAGUUACAUAUUCUGUAACUUACAGAUCCAACUCCUAUUGCCUGCAUUUACACAGUUUUUCUCUCUCCUCAGGACACGUGUGUUGCUUCCCAUUGGGUGUGUACGUUACAGAUUCUGUAACGUAGGUUGGUCCCUUAUUUGUAAUGUUGUCUAUUAUUAUAGUUUAUCACUAUUAUUCCUAUCAAUCUGAGACUCUCCGUAGCACGCAACUCCCAACCGAUUUAUUUAAACGUGCUGCCAAACAACGACUCGCAUAAGAUAAAGGGAAGAACAAUCAAGAAUCAUCACUCCAUUAUCUAAUUUUUCAUGCCGUAGCCAGAACGCUUUACUAAGUAGCGACUUAAGGUCGAUGGAAGAACAAUCAAGCUGAUAUGACUAGUUUGUCAUUAUUGCUUUUCUUGACUACCACAAGAUCUAUAUCGAGGGAGGUGCUACCUUAAAUUUAAGGUACAGCUCUCUCUAAGAACCACUGCUGUAGGGAGAGUUGUACCUUAAGAUAAACUUAAGGUAGGCAAAACCUUUUGUCGGUGUCUCCAACUUUCAAUUUCUUCAACAUUUAGCUUUCCUGGAAGCAAUUAUACACACUCUACUGAUGCGACAAAAGGUGCCAAAAAAAAAAAAAAAAACUGCCCGUUGCGUCACUGCUUAGGUCAUUCUAAACCUUCAGUUCUCUGUCUGUAGUCUAUCACUUGGUGCAAAAUAGUCAAGUUCUCACGUUUUAGACGGCACGUUAAUCGGACACGCGGCUGAUCCUGUCCUUAACAGGCCAUUUUUAUUAGGCCACCUACCUUAUUACAAUGAAUGUAAAGUAUAUCUUCUUACAAAUUGAGUUGUAGGACUCAUUUGGACCCACAGCCAAUAAAGAGGAUGUACCUUACAAUCAUUGUAAGGUAGCAGCUCCCUAUUAUAUUAGUUACUUCAUUUGUGAAUGUAAUGAGAAAGAACUAAGGCGACGCACCCUCGCAGGAGCUGAAACUUUCAGUCUAUCACAGUCUGAAAAGGCCGUUGACCAUGCAAUCUGCGUACGUUGUUUGUUCUCAAAUUUGAUCGUUUGUUUUCAUUUUUCGUUCAUGUCAAGUUUCUGUAUUUGUACACAAUUAAAUGAUCACUCAUUCGCAGGUUUUGCUUUUACCUGACGCUCUUCAAUAGUUUUAUUCACUCUAGUAUUUGCGAUAUAUCUUUCUGCUUGAUGACCCAAGUUGCAUGUGAACGGAUUAGCUAUUCAUUUUACUUUGUUAAUCAGUCAAAUAUCAUAGACCCCAUCUGUUAUUACAGCAGUGAUUGCUAGGAACAGUUGAGAGUCUUUUCAAACUUUUCCAAACAUGUGUCCAAAUAGAUUGAGCUUGUACGUGAGAUAGCUGGAUUUUAUUUGCUUACAAACCUUUUUUGGGAUUAUUUAAAAAUUACAAUUACUGAUCUGGUUUCGGAUACACGAGAGUUUUUUGCUAUUAUCCAAUUUAUUUUGGUUGGAGCACGUUUUAACUGACACAAAGCCGGAAAUACCAGUUCAAUCUCAGUAACCUCUAUAAUUUGUCUCAAAUACAUUGUGUUUAGUUAUUCAUGUUCUUGGAUUUCCAAUUUCAUUUAUGGCUUAACUGAUAUAAGAAAGCUGACAGGGAUAUGAGAAAUUUUUCUCAAGGAUGGAAGAUUCUGGUAGCCAUUUUUCUGUUGGGAUUAAGCUUUCCAUACUCACAAGGUUAUAAUGUCAAAUCUAAAGUCUUUUUGUCACCUAAGUUUGUGCUGGGGCCAGGAUCCGUUGAGAAUAAAUUUUACUAUGGGAUUGACUUUCCGAGAGGUCAUAUUGCUCUAAAGAGUUUUAAUGCAGAAGUAAUUGAUGAGGCAGGAAAUCCCGUUCCUCUUCACGAGACUUAUCUCCACCAUUGGGCCGUUCAAAAAUACUAUGGACGUAAAGAUGCAGAAUUACUAGAGUAUAAUGGCAACAGACUUCUUCGUGAAUCAGAUUACAUUUCAGCGAGAAAUGAUGGCAUAUGCCAGACGAAUAUUCUUGAGCAGGAUUUUGGCCUUGGCUCUGAGACGCGAGGAACGGCAACGCAUAUUCCAGAUCCUUAUGGAUUAGAAAUUGGCAAUCCUGCUACAAUUCCUGCAGGCUAUGAAGAGAGAUGGUUUCUUAAUGUCCAUGCAAUUGAUACACGAGGUGUCGAAGAUAGGUUGGGAUGCACCGAAUGCAAGUGCGAUUUGUACAAUGUUACAUUGGAUGAGUAUGGCCAGCCACUAAAGCCAAAUUACAGAGGUGGUUUAGCGUGUUGUUACGAUGGUACGCAGUGUAGAUUGUCAAACGGUUUUGAAGGUGCCAGGAGGAGCCUCUAUUUGAGAUAUACCGUAAAGUGGGUUGAUUGGGACACUUCCAUUGUGCCUGUUAAAAUCUACAUAUUUGAUGUCACUGACAAGGAAACACGGUUUAGUGAUUCCACUGGAUUCAGCAUACAGCAUCAUUGCCAGGUAAGUGAAACUCUUUUUACAAAACUCUCCAAGCUGAAACAGAAAUGAAUUUUAUUUGGGACGUUCAGUGGAAUAGCCUUGGCAUUACUUUCUUCAUCUUUAUGGUUCAUUGAACUAGGUUGUUAUAUAAUCAUUUAAUGCUUGUUUUGGUGCAUUACUGGAAAAAUGGAAUUGACUCACUGAUGCAAUGAACACAAAGUUGGAAUCUGCAUAAAGCUAAUCGUAAUUUUCUGGAAAAAUUUCUUCGGGGUUAGAGUCCUCUUUGACGGCAUACUGUUUAAUAUGUGUGUAUGAAAUGACUUGCGUUGAAGAUAUUUUUUGUUUAAUGUGGAGGAGUUUUUAUUAAAUGUGCACAAAUUUAUAGACAUUCAAGAGCACAUAAGCACAAACACUUACUUCAGCCCUUAAAUUUGAUAAUCAAUAGUGUAAACGUUUUGAUUUGUGAUUUUCUUGCAACUCUUAGUGACUUAAUUUCUUCACAAAUGUGGACCCAUCGGAAUAUCUCUGAUUGCAGAUUGAAUAUUCUGUUGAGCCCUGUAAAGCCAGUGAUGUGGCUGAUAAUGGGUGUGUCCACACCAAAAGGACCAGUGUCACGAUGCCAGCCAGUGGUUACAUCAUCUAUGGCGUUGCCCAUCAGCACUCAGGGGGCAUUGGUGCAGCUCUAUAUAGAGAGGUGAUUUCAAUAUCUAAUUUGCAUUCAUGUGGCAUGCCUUUUCUUUUGUCUAUGUUCUACUUUCCAUUGUAAUUUUAUCAUUCUUAUCUGCCAGGUUGGUGGUAAACUGGUGAUGUAUGAAGACGUGUACUAGUACUUGAUCUUUUUAAUUUUCUUGUUAGAUUUUCUUUGAAAGUUAAUGUUUCUUUAGUCUGCAAAAGAAUUGUCAGCUAUGACAGAAGUUACUAUUUUUUGCACAUAAAGAAUGUUUUAAGAUUAUGUAAAUGUUUAUAACAUUAAUUAGAUGUUGAGGACAUGUGAGUGUGACAUUAUCAUAUUUCCAAAUAGACUAUUUUUGAGCUUCUAGUUGCUUGAUUUGUUUGUCAUCCUCAAAGUUUCGAUAACAUUGAUGUUUGAUAUAUAGUGUUAUGGUCCCUCAAAUUGGUUGGAUGUUUUCCCUUUUUGUUUUGAAGAACAAUUCUUCAUUACUCAUUUUAUGUAAUUUGUUCAGAACCCAUUGUGAUGAUUGUGGAAGGAAUUUGAUUCCCUAAUGUCUUCUUUCAUUGAUAUGCUUGUUUUUGGUGAAAUCAGGAUGGACAACUUAUGUGCUCUUCAAUUCCAGCUUAUGGAAAUGGGAUGGAAGCUGGAAACGAGGCUGGAUAUGUUGUAGGAAUGUCGACCUGUUAUCCUAAACCAGGCUCCCUCAGGAUAACAGAUGGGGAAACUCUGAUUGUGGAAUCUAGCUACAGUAGCUCCCGCGAACACACAGGAGUCAUGGGGUUUUUCUACAUUUUGGUUGCAGACAGGGUGCCCGAGUCCAGUUCAUUCUUAGAUGUUUUCAACAAGGUAAGAUUCCCUUUUCAUAUUUUUAGAUAGUGAGUGCAGCAAUACAAGUUAUUAUGCUUGUGAGCACAUGCGAAAAUACGGCAGAUACAAAAAACUUAUUCUAGAAUUGAGUAGGAAUAUUGUCUUGCCUCUUAGAUUAUCAAAAUGGUAUAGAGAAUGGAUUAUAGACAGUCGUUUGAUUAGUGUUGAUGAGAAGAUUAUUAUUUGCGGGAGUAGAAACUGUUUAAUAUGAUUCUUAGGCGAUAAUAGAACUAUAAUCCUCUUCGUGAUUUUAACAAGAAACACCAAGCAUUUGAUAAGUGAUAACUGCCUGGUUUUUGCAGAUGGACAGUGAUAUAAACCAUUCUGCUUUUGUUUGGGGAGCAUUUGUUUUAGCCGGAGUUGCUGUCAUUGCUGCCGCUGUGGGUUACAGGCGUAGGAAUAAGUACGAAGAUGGAUACCAACCAAUUAUGAUCUGAACUAGUUCUUAUGAGGCUUAGCCAUGUGUAUUAGACAGAAAUUAUGUUAGCUCUGUACCAUAUGUUAUUGAAACUCUCGUUUCCCUUUGCUAGACGAGUGUGAAUAAACCCGGGCGACUCACAGUCUGCUGUGGACCAAUGUGGGUUAUGGUCUAGCCCAAUAUUAAUGCCAUUACUGUUGUUAGUAAUUGGAACUGUGUGAUUUAUGUGAUCCUUUGUUGGACUUAUAUGUCCAUUUCUUUCAUUUUCUCUACGACUCCUGUAGCUGGUUGUGUUCAACACUAUGUUGACAUUUGUAAGGGACCUGUCCUAAGUUGAGAAAAUUCAAAGCAUUAUUGGGUCGCUAUUUCCUGUGGCAGCUGCCAAGUUUGAGUAUCUUCGCCUUAGAGGAACCACAUAUGUUACUUUUUUUUUUUUAAAUUUAUUUCAUGUUUUUAAUCUGCAAGUGUGCUAUUUAAUAAUAAGUUAUUUUUAUAUUUUGAACCAAAAAGAAGCGUCAACGAACACCGAAAGAAUUUAUUUAUUUAUUUCUUUAUUUUUAAAGGACGGUAGGUGCUUUGUGUAGUGUGAAUCGUGAUCGCGUUAUCUCGUUAUCCGGUUAUCCUGUCUACCCAGUCCCAUUCGCCGAUAAAAUCGAUCAAACCCCCACGAUCUGCACGUGCCAAUUCCCUGUUCGGUAAUUUCACCAAAAUCAUUGGGCCUUUUCUAUUUUGUCAAAAG